AUAUAAGUAGGCGGUGGAAAAUGAACCAAAUGGGAUUCCUUAAGUAAUUGCGAAUGAACAAGGAACUGCUCAGCUUGAAAAUUGGGGCCUUCGGCCUUGAAUUGUAAUUUUGAAAUGUAUUGCCAAUGGAGGCGCAGGUGCAAGCCUAUUGAAAGAAAGCGUCAAUGAGGGUGAGAUUCCUUUUUGUCAUUUGCAGUCCUCCGUGCACGGUAUAUAUUUGACGAGUCACACUCCUUGGCAUUGGAAUGCAAAGUGGGUGGUAAAUUCCAUGUAAAGGAAAAUAUAUUAUUGAGACUGAUAGCAAACAAGUACCAUGAGGGAAAUAUGAAAAGGACUUUGAAAAGAGAAUUAAAAGAGUCUGCAUUUGCUGAACAGAAAGCAAACAGAAUUGAUCUACUUGGUGAGAUUGUUGCGUCCACUUGUGGGCGCAAUGGUUCUUGCCUUGAAUGUCAGCGUCUACUUCUGCAAAUUAUUACCCUUGCAUAUGAAUGGUAAUUUGCCUGUGGGCAUUGGAAUGCAUGUGUUUGCAAUGAUUUGUGAUUUGAUACAUGUGUCUGGUGUUCGUGUGUGUGCCUUCUUGCCAACAAGGGGAGGGCUCUCCUCCCUGGGCACUGCAAG
rnacentral:rRNA from 1 species